rnacentral:ncRNA from 1 species
UAGAUAGAGGCGCGGAAUACAUGAUUAACCGUCAGUAAAAAGGCUAAUGCUGAAACGGCUAAAGGGUCUUCCGCCGAAGUGCACCGGGGACGCCUUGCUCCGCUGUGCUGGGCCGUCGGGAAAUACCCGCCGGACUGUCAUUUAAAAGUGGAGCGCUAUCUU